GACAGAGGGUGCAAACGUUGCUCGGAAUUACUGGGCGUAAAGCGCGUGUAGGCGGACCCGCAAGUCGGACGUGAAAUCCCUGAGCUCAACUCAGGAACUGCAUCCGAAACUGCGGGUCUGGAGUGGUGGAGAGGGAAGCAGAAUUCCUGGUGUAGAGGUGAAAUUCGUAGAUAUCAGGAGGAACACCGGUGGCGAAGGCGGCUUCCUGGACCAAUUCUGACGCUGAGUGAGCGAAAGCCAGGGGAGCAAACGGG
rnacentral:rRNA from 1 species